AUUGAACGCUGGCGGCAGGCUUAACACAUGCAAGUCGAGCGGUAACAGAGAGAAGCUCGCUUCUCUGCUGACGAGCGGCGGACGGGUGAGUAAUGCCUAGGAAUCUGCCUAGUAGUGAGGGAUAACUUGCCGAAAGGUAAGCUAAUACCGCAUACGUCCUACGGGAGAAAGGAGGGGACCUUCGGGCCUUUCGCUAUUAGAUGAGCCUAGGUCGGAUUAGUUAGUUGGUGAGGUAAUGGCUCACCAAGACCGCGAUCCGUAACUGGUCGUGAGAGGAUGAUCAGUCACACUGGAACUGAGACACGGUCCAGACUCCUACGGGAGGCAGCAGUGGGGAAUAUUGGGCAAUGGGGGGAACCCUGAUCCAGCCAUGCCGCGUGUGUGAAGAAGGUCUUAGGAUUGUAAAGCACUUUAAGUUGGGAGGAAGAGCAGUUAACUAAUAUUUGACUGUUUUGACGUUACCGACAGAAUAAGCACCGGCUAACUUCGUGCCAGCCGCCGCGGUAA
rnacentral:rRNA from 1 species